AACGAACGCUGGCGGCAUGCCUAACACAUGCAAGUCGAACGAGACCUUCGGGUCUAGUUGCGCACGGGUGCGUAACGCGUGGUAACCUGCCCUUAGGUUCGCAAUAACUCCCCGAAAGGGGUGCUAAUACCGGAUAAUGUCUUCGGACCAAAGAUUUAUCGCCUUUGGAUGGGCCCGCGUUGGAUUAGCUAGUUGGUAGGGUAAAAGCAUACCAAGGCGACGAUCCAUAGCUGGUCUGAGAGGAUGAUCAGCCACACUGGGACUGAGACACGGCCCAGACUCCUACGGGAGGCAGCAGUGGGGAAUAUUGGACAAUGGGCGAAAGCCUGAUCCAGCAAUGCCGCGUGAGUGAUGAAGGCCUUAGGGUUGUAAAGCUCUUUUACCCGGGAUGAUAAUGACAGUACCGGGAGAAUAAGCUCCGGCUAACUCCGUG
rnacentral:rRNA from 1 species